rnacentral:rRNA from 1 species
AGAACGAACGCUGGCGGCAGGCUUAACACAUGCAAGUCGAGCGCCCAGCAAUGGGAGCGGCGGACGGGUGCGUAACACGUGGGAACAUGCCUUUCGGUACGGAACAACUGCGGGAAACUGCAGCUAAUGCCGUAUACGCCCUUACGGGGAAAGAUUUAUCGCCGAAAGAUUGGCCCGCGUCUGAUUAGCUAGUUGGUGAGGUAACGGCUCACCAAGGCUUCGAUCAGUAGCUGGUUUGAGAGAACGACCAGCCACACUGGGACUGAGACACGGCCCAGACUCCUACGGGAGGCAGCAGUGGGGAAUCUUGGACAAUGGGCGAAAGCCUGAUCCAGCCAUGCCGCGUGAGUGAUGAAGGCCUUCGGGUUGUAAAACUCUUUUACCUGGGAAGAUAAUGACUGUACCAGGAGAAUAAGCCCGGCUAACUUCGCGUCAGCAGCCGC